UACGUAGGGUGCAAGCGUUGUCCGGAAUUAUUGGACGUAAAGAGCUCGUAGGCGGUCUGUCACGUCGGCUGUGAAAACUCGGGGCUCAACCCCGAGCCUGCAGUCGAUACGGGCAGACUAGAGUCCGGCAGGGGAGACUGGAAUUCCUGGUGUAGCGGUGAAAUGCGCAGAUAUCAGGAGGAACACCGGUGGCGAAGGCGGGUCUCUGGGCCGGAACUGACGCUGAGGAGCGAAAGCGUGGGGAGCGAACAGG
rnacentral:rRNA from 1 species